rnacentral:rRNA from 1 species
GGGUUGUGAGGUUAAGCGACUAAGCGUACACGGUGGAUGCCCUGGCAGUCAGAGGCGAUGAAGGACGUGCUAAUCUGCGAUAAGCGUCGGUAAGGUGAUAUGAACCGUUAUAACCGGCGAUUUCCGAAUGGGGAAACCCAGUGUGAUUCGUCACACUAUCAUUAACUGAAUCCAUAGGUUAAUGAGGCGAACCGGGGGAACUGAAACAUCUAAGUACCCCGAGGAAAAGAAAUCAACCGAGAUUCCCCCAGUAGCGGCGAGCGAACGGGGAGCAGCCCAGAGCCUGAAUCAGUGUGUGUGUUAGUGGAAGCGUCUGGAAAGGCGCGCGAUACAGGGUGACAGCCCCGUACACAAAAAUGCACAUGCUGUGAGCUCGAUGAGUAGGGCGGGACACGUGGUAUCCUGUCUGAAUAUGGGGGGACCAUCCUCCAAGGCUAAAUACUCCUGACUGACCGAUAGUGAACCAGUACCGUGAGGGAAAGGCGAAAAGAACCCCGGCGAGGGGAGUGAAAAAGAACCUGAAACCGUGUACGUACAAGCAGUGGGAGCACGCUUCGGCGUGUGACUGCGUACCUUUUGUAUAAUGGGUCAGCGACUUAUAUUCUGUAGCAAGGUUAACCGAAUAGGGGAGCCGAAGGGAAACCGAGUCUUAACUGGGCGUUAAGUUGCAGGGUAUAGACCCGAAACCCGGUGAUCUAGCCAUGGGCAGGUUGAAGGUUGGGUAACACUAACUGGAGGACCGAACCGACUAAUGUUGAAAAAUUAGCGGAUGACUUGUGGCUGGGGGUGAAAGGCCAAUCAAACCGGGAGAUAGCUGGUUCUCCCCGAAAGCUAUUUAGGUAGCGCCUCGUGAAUUCAUCUCCGGGGGUAGAGCACUGUUUCGGCAAGGGGGUCAUCCCGACUUACCAACCCGAUGCAAACUGCGAAUACCGGAGAAUGUUAUCACGGGAGACACACGGCGGGUGCUAACGUCCGUCGUGAAGAGGGAAACAACCCAGACCGCCAGCUAAGGUCCCAAAGUCAUGGUUAAGUGGGAAACGAUGUGGGAAGGCCCAGACAGCCAGGAUGUUGGCUUAGAAGCAGCCAUCAUUUAAAGAAAGCGUAAUAGCUCACUGGUCGAGUCGGCCUGCGCGGAAGAUGUAACGGGGCUAAACCAUGCACCGAAGCUGCGGCAGCGACGCUGAUGCGUUGUUGGGUAGGGGAGCGUUCUGUAAGCCUGUGAAGGUGUGCUGUGAGGCAUGCUGGAGGUAUCAGAAGUGCGAAUGCUGACAUAAGUAACGAUAAAGCGGGUGAAAAGCCCGCUCGCCGGAAGACCAAGGGUUCCUGUCCAACGUUAAUCGGGGCAGGGUGAGUCGACCCCUAAGGCGAGGCCGAAAGGCGUAGUCGAUGGGAAACAGGUUAAUAUUCCUGUACUUGGUGUUACUGCGAAGGGGGGACGGAGAAGGCUAUGUUGGCCGGGCGACGGUUGUCCCGGUUUAAGCGUGUAGGCUGGUUUUCCAGGCAAAUCCGGAAAAUCAAGGCUGAGGCGUGAUGACGAGGCACUACGGUGCUGAAGCAACAAAUGCCCUGCUUCCAGGAAAAGCCUCUAAGCAUCAGGUAACAUCAAAUCGUACCCCAAACCGACACAGGUGGUCAGGUAGAGAAUACCAAGGCGCUUGAGAGAACUCGGGUGAAGGAACUAGGCAAAAUGGUGCCGUAACUUCGGGAGAAGGCACGCUGAUAUGUAGGUGAAGUCCCUCGCGGAUGGAGCUGAAAUCAGUCGAAGAUACCAGCUGGCUGCAACUGUUUAUUAAAAACACAGCACUGUGCAAACACGAAAGUGGACGUAUACGGUGUGACGCCUGCCCGGUGCCGGAAGGUUAAUUGAUGGGGUUAGCCGCAAGGCGAAGCUCUUGAUCGAAGCCCCGGUAAACGGCGGCCGUAACUAUAACGGUCCUAAGGUAGCGAAAUUCCUUGUCGGGUAAGUUCCGACCUGCACGAAUGGCGUAAUGAUGGCCAGGCUGUCUCCACCCGAGACUCAGUGAAAUUGAACUCGCUGUGAAGAUGCAGUGUACCCGCGGCAAGACGGAAAGACCCCGUGAACCUUUACUAUAGCUUGACACUGAACAUUGAGCCUUGAUGUGUAGGAUAGGUGGGAGGCUUUGAAGUGUGGACGCCAGUCUGCAUGGAGCCGACCUUGAAAUACCACCCUUUAAUGUUUGAUGUUCUAACGUUGACCCGUAAUCCGGGUUGCGGACAGUGUCUGGUGGGUAGUUUGACUGGGGCGGUCUCCUCCUAAAGAGUAACGGAGGAGCACGAAGGUUGGCUAAUCCUGGUCGGACAUCAGGAGGUUAGUGCAAUGGCAUAAGCCAGCUUGACUGCGAGCGUGACGGCGCGAGCAGGUGCGAAAGCAGGUCAUAGUGAUCCGGUGGUUCUGAAUGGAAGGGCCAUCGCUCAACGGAUAAAAGGUACUCCGGGGAUAACAGGCUGAUACCGCCCAAGAGUUCAUAUCGACGGCGGUGUUUGGCACCUCGAUGUCGGCUCAUCACAUCCUGGGGCUGAAGUAGGUCCCAAGGGUAUGGCUGUUCGCCAUUUAAAGUGGUACGCGAGCUGGGUUUAGAACGUCGUGAGACAGUUCGGUCCCUAUCUGCCGUGGGCGCUGGAGAACUGAGGGGGGCUGCUCCUAGUACGAGAGGACCGGAGUGGACGCAUCACUGGUGUUCGGGUUGUCAUGCCAAUGGCACUGCCCGGUAGCUAAAUGCGGAAGAGAUAAGUGCUGAAAGCAUCUAAGCACGAAACUUGCCCCGAGAUGAGUUCUCCCUGACUCCUUGAGAGUCCUGAAGGAACGUUGAAGACGACGACGUUGAUAGGCCGGGUGUGUAAGCGCAGCGAUGCGUUGAGCUAACCGGUACUAAUGAACCGUGAGGCUUAACCUUACAACGCCGAAG